rnacentral:rRNA from 1 species
UACGUAGGGGGCUAGCGUUGUCCGGAAUUAUUGGGCGUAAAGGGCUCGUAGGCGGUUUGUCGCGUCGGGAGUGAAAACACUGGGCUUAACUCAGUGCUUGCUUCCGAUACGGGCAGACUAGAGGUAUGCAGGGGAGAACGGAAUUCCUGGUGUAGCGGUGAAAUGCGCAGAUAUCAGGAGGAACACCGGUGGCGAAGGCGGUUCUCUGGGCAUUACCUGACGCUGAGGAGCGAAAGCCAGGGGAGCAAACGGG